GGUAAGUAUAACAGGUAAGCAUCUAUGGUAAGUAUAACAGGUAAGUAUAACAGGUAAGCAUCUAUGGUAAGUAUAACAGGUAAGUAUAACAGGUAAGCAUCUAUGGUAAGUAUAACAGGUAAGUAUAACAGGUAAGCAUCUAUGGUAAGUAUAACAGGUAAGUAUAACAGGUAAGCAUCUAUGGUAAGUAUAACAGGUAAGCAUCUAAGGUAAGUAUAACAACAGUUUAAUAUAACCAGUAAUGAUACCAGGGAUAUAUCAGUCGGGUGGUGAUAAGAACUGCCAUUAUCUUAAUCGCGAAUUAAGAUUUUGAAAAACUUUUUUGAAGAGUUUGUCUGUUUUGUUAAUUUUUUAUUUAUUUUUAUUUGUGCAACUCAAUGAG